rnacentral:rRNA from 1 species
GACAGAGGGGGCAAACGUUGUUCGGAAUUACUGGGCGUAAAGCGCGUGUAGGCGGCCCUGUAAGUCGGGUGUGAAAUCCCACGGCUCAACCGUGGAAGUGCAUUCGAAACUGCAGGGCUAGAGUCCUGGAGAGGAAGGUGGAAUGCUUGGUGUAGAGGUGAAAUUCGUAGAUAUCAAGCGGAACACCGGUGGCGAAGGCGGCCUUCUGGACAGUGACUGACGCUGAGACGCGAAAGCGUGGGGAGCAAACAGG